rnacentral:lncRNA from 1 species
CAGCAGGUUACCACAGUGUGAACCCUCCACCCCAGCCCAGCUCAUUCUGAGAGGGUGGAGUGGGCGGAAAUCCGUGCCUGGCAGGCCACAAAGCCACAUAACUGACUUUGGGGGCCCUGCCCUAAGAGGGAGGUGUGUGAUGACAGCCACUGGCCCUUUCUUGGGUGGUUUGCUGCUAGAAGAUGCUAUGUGGAAUCGAGGAGCUCUGUGCUGUGGACUUUCUUGGGCUCAUUUCUGGGCUUAGGAUUUUGGAGGUACAGCCUGGUCCCCAUCCUGCUCAAUCUCAUUAGCCAGGGGGGCCCAGCAUGGAUCAGUGGCUGCCUACCCUGGUGGCACAGCAGAACUCUCCAGGGGAAAAAGUUAAAAUGCAGCUUCUGCGGGCCCCACCUAGGACAUUCUUUUUCAUUAGGCCUGGGUGGGGUCCAGGAAACCUGAGUUGUCAGGGCCAGAGGUGGAGCUGACGUUGCAGUCUGGUUGCAGCUUUGUGGGGAAAACCAUCCAUUUAAAGCACUCUUCCCCACCAUGCAGAUUCAGCAGUUAGGCUCCUGGCCCCUGGGUGACCUUCUGCAAGCCUAUUUUCGUGCCUAUUUUCUUUACCUAGGGAUAAUCUUAGUGCCUGUAUAUGGACACUGUUGCUGUGGAACAUGGAGCACAGGGCUUACUUAGUACAUGCUUGACAAAUGCUCUUUGCCUUAAUAGUUCUGAUAUUAUUAAUAAUGGAUUUGGGCUGUGCGAUCACCGAACACACAUAACCAUGUGAUGUGCCCACAUGCCUGCAGGCGCACCCACCUAUACCCACAUGGGUAAACUGAACCGAUGUGCACCUAGAUCUGAACCUACCUGCUGAGGAUGGAGGCGUGCAUAGGGGACAUACAUAGUCACUGGAUAGAUGGGGUCACGGGGGCAGACCUGUGUGUACGCCGGGCCCGUACCAAUGGGACUUUUCUUUUAUUCACGUGCUGAUAUUAUUCUG